rnacentral:rRNA from 1 species
AGUUUGAUCAGUGGCUACGAGGACGAACGCUGGCGGUGUGCUUCACACAUGCAAGUCGAACGAGGUAGCAAUACCUAGUGGCGGACGGGUGAGUAACGCGUGGGAAUCUGCCUUUAGAUGGGGGAUAACGGGUCGAAAGACUCGCUAAUACCGCAUAUGACGAAAGUUGAAAGGAGUAAUCCGUCUAAAGAUGAGCCCGCGUCCGAUUAGCUAGUUGGUAGAGUAAAAGCCUACCAAGGCGACGAUCGGUAGCUGGUCUGAGAGGAUGAUCAGCCACAAUGGGACUGAGACACGGCCCAUACUCCUACGGGAGGCAGCAGUGGGGAAUUUUACGCAAUGGGCGAAAGCCUGACGUAGCGACACCGCGUGAGCGAAGAAGCCCCUUGGGGUGUAAAGCUCUGUCAGCUGGAACGAAAAAAAUGACGGUACCAGCAGAGGAAGCAUCGGCUAACUACGUG